rnacentral:rRNA from 1 species
UACAUGGGGUGCAAACGUUGCUCGGAAUUAUUGGGCGUAAAGCGCGCGUAGGCGGUUACUUAAGUCGGAUGUGAAAGCCCUCGGCUUAACUGAGGAAGUGCACCCGAAACUGAGUAGCUAGAGUACGAAAGAGGGUCGCGGAAUUCCCGGUGUAGAGGUGAAAUUCGUAGAUAUCGGGAGGAACACCGGUGGCGAAGGCGGUUCUCUGGGCCUUACCUGACGCUGAGGAGCGAAAGCGUGGGGAGCGAACAGG